rnacentral:rRNA from 1 species
GGACCCGCACAAGCAGCGGAGCAUGUGGUUUAAUUCGACGCAACGCGAAAAACCUUACCAGGGUUUGACAUCCUCUGACAUCCUAAGAGAUUAGGCUUCCCUUCGGGGCAGAGAGACAGGUGGUGCAUGGUUGUCGUCAGCUCGUGUCGUGAGAUGUUAGGUUAAGUCCUGCAACGAGCGCAACCCCUAUAUACAGUUGCCAAUAUUCAGUUAGGAACUCUGUAUAGACUGCCGUGGACAACACGGAGGAAGGUGGGGAUGACGUCAAAUCAUCACGCCCCUUACAUCCUGGGCUACACACGUGCUACAAUGGCUAUUACAAAGAGCUGCAAAACUGCAAAGUCUAGCGAAUCUCAAAAAAAUAGUCUCAGUUCAGAUUGUGGGCUGCAACCCGCCCACAUGAAGUCGGAGUUGCUAGUAAUCCCGAAUCAGCAUGUCGGGGUGAAUGCGUUCCCGGGUCUU